CACAGCAGCAAACCUGGAGCCAUUCACAUCAUCCACGAGUUAGGGGCCUGAACUCCAAAUCCAGCUGGGUCUGAAGUUCUCUAAAGCAUCGCCUCCGGCCCACCAAGACCGUAGGAGAAGUUUAUGAAGCUUGGGGAUUAGGUGAAGCAGCAGCCAGGGGAGUCUGUGUCUGCUGCUUUUGGUGCGACAGGAUCACAUCGUGUCCCUGGUGAGGCUGCCUGGCACUUUCUCUAGUGAAACAUCUUCCAUUUCUUGCGUUGAGAUGGCAGAAUGCCCCUGCCUGCAGAAGU